UACAAGGAGAAGAAACUCAAU
rnacentral:snRNA from 1 species